UAUACACUCUCUCUCUCGCACACACACACGCACACACACACACAGUGUGUUGUAAAGGUAAUACUGGGCUCCACCCCUCACCGGUGUUGUAUCACACGGGGAGAAACUACUAAACCUCUGUGGUUCUUUCCUUUUUUAUUUCAUCCGAUCACUGGAACUGGAAAUCUGUUUAUCACACGGAUCUGAAAUGACCCGGAAUCUGAAAUGAUCCGGAAUCUGAAAUGAUCCGGAAUCUGAAAUGACGAAUCAGAUGAUGUCAAUGAUUUAAAAAAUAUAUAUAUUUUCACUUUUCAGUUGAUUCAGUGAAAUGUUUGUAUAUGAGCUCAUGUUCUAAAUGAUACAUAAGUGUUGAAAUGUUUUCCUUUCAGCUUCUUUUUCUUUUCUUUUUUUUUUCAUAGCUUUUUUUGUUUCGUUUGUUUUUUUUUUCUUCUUCUUUGUUUUGAAAUUUGUGGGGGUUUUUUGACCUUUUUGUGUUUUUUUUUCUUUCUUUCUUUAUCUUGUUUCUCAUCUUUUCUUUCAUUUUUCAUGUUUAUUUUUAUCUUUCCUACUUUCUUUCUUCUUUUUCCGAUUGAGUAAUAUGGGUCAACUGUAGACUUUACUUUCAGGGUCACAUUUAGCAGUAGGUUUAGUUCUUAUGUUAAACGGAGCACUAUUUAGCAGCAGGUUUAGUUCUUAUGUUAAACGGAGCACUAUUUAGCAGCAGGUUUAGUCCUUAUUUGUUAAAUGGAGCACUAUUUAGCAGCAGGUUUAGUCCUUAUUUGUUAAAUGGAGCACUAUUUAGCAGCAGGUUUAGUCCUUAUUUGUUAAAUGGAGCACUAUUUAGCAGCAGGUUUAGUUCUUAUGUUAAACGGAGCACUAUUUAGCAGCAGGUUUAGUCCUUAUUUGUUAAAUGGAGCACUAUUUAGCAGCAGGUUUAGUCCUUAUUUGUUAAACGGAGCACUAUUUAGCAGCAGGUUUAGUCCUUAUUUGUUAAAUGGAGCACUAUUUAGCAGCAGGUUUAGUUCUUAUUUGUUAAACGGAGCACUAUUUAGCAGCAGGUUUAGUCCUUAUUUGUUAAAUGGAGCACUAUUUAGCAGCAGGUUUAGUUCUUAUUUGUUAAACGGAGCACUAUUUAGCAGCAGGUUUAGUCCUUAUUUGUUAAAUGGAGCACUAUUUGGCAAAGAUGUAAAAAUUGGCACAUGCUUUAGAUUUAAAGUUGUAUUUUGAGCUUGAAUGGCUCAGUGAUAAUUAAGGCAUAAUUACUGAUUGAUUUGGUCGCGUGAACCUGGAAAAAAAGGCCAGUAAUAAUAUAAAGAGUUCACAUUCAUGAAAACAGACUUCAUUCAUUCGGGGGUGAUUAUGUUUGCAUCCUCUCAUUAACAGGGGUAAUGAAGUGUUCCUGUGAGACUGAUAGUGUGUGUGUGUGUGUGUGUGUGUGUGUGUGUGUGUGUGUGUGUGUGUGAGUUAAAAUGACGGGGUUCGGUAUAGCCUGAGGUUUUCACAUGCUCUGAGGGACGAGCGAGUGUGUUUAGAGGAGGAGAGGAUGUGAAGGAAGUUGUUUGUGUGUGUGAUCAUGCAUUCGGAGUGUGUGUGAGUGUGUGUAGCCUAAGGAACGGAGCUACAUCGAGGGGCAGAGUGUAGCCUGAGGGAAGGAGCGAGGAAGAAACAAGAGAAAGAAGACUGUCUGUGUUCACUGGUGCAUUUUAAAAACAGAGGUCCUUUUUGUUAUUGUUGGUUUUUAAACCUUACAGUAAAAACAAAUCUCUCUUCAAGGUUUUCAAUGACAGCAUGAUGUUUUCUAAUGACUGG